CCCUUAGAUGUCCUGGGCCGCACGCGCGUUACACUGAUGCAUUCAACGAGCUUAUAACCUUGGCCGAGAGGCCUGGGCAAUCUUGUUAACGUGCAUCGUGAUGGGGAUAGAUUAUUGAAAUUAUUAAUCUUGAACGAGGAAUUCCAAGUAAACGCAGAUCAUCAAUCUGCAUUGAUUACGUCCCUGCCCUUUGUACACACCGCCCGUCGCACCUACCGAUUGGAUGGUCCGGUGAAGCCUCGGGAUUGUGGUUCUUGCCGCUUUAUUGUGGCGUGACCGCGAGAACUUGUCUAAACCUUAUCAUCUAGAGGAAGGUGAAGUCGUAACA
rnacentral:rRNA from 1 species